rnacentral:tRNA from 1 species
GUGGGCUUGGCAGAGUGCUCAGGCAGGGACCUUCCAAGCCUCUUACGUGGGUUCGUUCCCCGUAGCCCGCU